ACCUGUUGAUCCUGCAGGAGGUUGCUGCUAUUUGAGUUCGAUUAAGCCAUGCAAGUUAGGUAGCAAUACCGGCGUAAUGCUCAGUAACACGUAGUUAAUCUGCCAUAAGGUUGAGGAUAUCCUCGGAAACCUGAGAGUAAUACUUGAUAGGGAAUAUGAUCUGGAAUGAUGUAUUCUUCAAACGUAAGGCCUUAUGAUGAGACUGCGGUGGAUUAGGUAGUUGGUAGGGUAACGGCCUACCAAGCCAGCGAUCCAUACGGGCCUUGGAAGAGGUAACCCGGAGAGGGACACUGAGAUACUGGUCCCAGCCCUACGGGGUGCAGCAGGCGCGAAAACUUUACAAUGUGCGAAAGCGUGAUAGGGGAACUCAAAGUGCUUACAGUUUACUGUAGGCUUUUGCCAAGUCAAAAUCGCUUGGCGAAUAAGUGGUGGGCAAGACUGGUGCCAGCCGCCGCGGUAACCCCAGCGCCACUAGUGGGAACCAGUAUUAUUGGGCCUAAAGCGUCCGUAGCAGGUCUUCUAAAUUGCUUGUGAAAUCGCAUAGCUUAACUAUGCGGGUUGCAGGUAGGACUGGAAGACUUGGGACCGGGAGAAGUCGAAGGUACUCAGAGGGGAGCGGUAAAAUGCGAGAAUCCUCUGAAGACCACCUGUUGCGAAGGCGUUCGACAAUAACGGGUCUGACUGUGAGGGACGAAAGCUAGGGGAGCGAACCGGAUUAGAUACCCGAGUAGUCCUAGCCCUAAACGCUGCGAGCUAGGUGUUGCAUAAUCUUCGGGAUUAUGCAGUAUCGUAGUGAAGACUUUAAGCUCGCCGCCUGGGAAGUACGGCCGCAAGACUGAAACUUAAAGGAAUUGGCGGGGGAGCACUACAAGGGGUGCGGCGUGCGGUUUAAUCGAAUUCAACGCCGAGAAUCUCACCAGAGGCGACGGCAGUAUGAAAGACAGUCUGAAGGGCUUUCUUGACGAGCCGAGAGGUAGUGCAUGGCCAUCGUCAGCUCGUAUCGUGAGAUGUCCUGUUAAGUCAGGUAACGAGCAAGACCUGCACCUAUAAUUGCUAACGGCUAAUAUUUAGGACCGAGCACAUUAUAGGGACUGCCCUGGAAACAGGGAGGAGGGUGAGGCAACGGUAGGUCUGUAUGCUCCGAAUCUUCUGGGCUACACGCGCGCAACAAUGGUUGGGACAAUGGGAUACAACUCCGAAAGGAGAAGUUAAACCUCUAAACCCAAUCUUAGUCUGGAUUGAGGGUUGUAACUCACCCUCAUGACACUGGAAUCCCUAGUAAUCGGUCCUCAUCAUAGACCAGUGAAUGUGUCCCUGCUCUUUGCACACACCGCCCGUCAAACCAACCGAGCAUACCAUAAGUGAGUCAUAGUCUAUCUUGGUUAUGUCAAACUUAAGAUAAGUGAGGUGGGUUAAGUCGUCACAAGGUA
rnacentral:rRNA from 1 species